rnacentral:rRNA from 1 species
GUAAGGAAUAUUGGUCAAUGGGGGCAACCCUGAACCAGCCAUGCCGCGUGAAGGAUGAAGGCGUUAUGCGUUGUAAACUUCUUUUGUAUGGGAAGAAUGACAGGGAUUCAUCCUUGGAGAGACGGUACCAUACGAAUAAGCACCGGCUAACUCCGUGCCAGCAGCCGCGGUAAUACGGAGGGUGCAAGCGUUAUCCGGAAUCACUGGGGUUAAAGGGUACGUAGGCGGUUAAUUAAGUCAGUAGUGAAAGACUGUCGCUCAACGACGGAUGUGCUAUUGAUACUGGUUAACUUGAAUCAGGUUAGAGUUGGCGGAAUGGGUCAUGUAGCGGUGAAAUGCUUAGAUAUGACUCAGAACCCCGAUUGCGAAGGCAGCUGUCUAAGUCAUGAUUGACGCUGAUGCACGAAAGCGUGGGGAUCAAACAGGAUUAGAUACCCGAGUAGUCC